GGUAGCCGGACUGAGAGGUUGAACGGCCACAUUGGGACUGAGACACGGCCCAAACUCCUACGGAAGGCAGCAG
rnacentral:rRNA from 1 species